ensembl:snRNA U6 U6 spliceosomal RNA
GUGCUUGCUUCAGAAGCACAUAGACUAAAAUUAGAGCAACAUAGAGAUCAGCAAUGCCCCUACUCAAGAACGACAUGUAAAUACAUGAACUGUUCCACAUUUUU